rnacentral:ribozyme from 1 species
GAUUACAUUCGUCGUGAGAUGAGUGUUAUCCAAAACUUUACGGUGAGAAUCCGUGACAAACUUGCGGGGCUUAUGUCUUAUUAUAUUUAAGCAUUAGUGCAGACUUUAAAAUCAAGU